UGUAUACUCACAUUGAAGAUGUUUAUUGUAGUUUUCAUUGGAUGUUGCAUGUCAUCGAUCUUCGAGAGAACUGUGUUUAUGUUUUGGACUCUCUUCAAAGUAAAGUUAACGAAGACAUCCAUGGAGUCAUAAAUGUGACUUAUGAUUUACUUCUUAUUUGACUUCAUUGUCUUCUAAUUCUAAUGUUUCCAAAUGUAUAGAGGAUUAAAAACAUGGCAAGCUAAGCAUGAUUUACAACAUUAUCGGUCAAAUCCGAAAUGGAAACCUAUAAAGUUUAAUACAAAAAAGUGCAUAUACGCAAGAGGAGAUUGACGAGAUUUGAACAAAAUAUGCAAGCUUUGUUAGCCGAUUUGUGUAAGCUUUUACACUUUUUUUUGUAGUUUAUAAGUUACUAGUACUAAUACUAAUUGUUUUAAUAUAUAAGCUACGAGAUUCUAGUACUA